rnacentral:misc_RNA from 1 species
CCAAACUUGGUCAUUUAGAGGAAGUAAAAGUCGUAACAAGGUUUCCGUAGGUGAACCUGCGGAAGGAUCAUUACCGAGUGCGGGCCCUUUGGGUCCAACCUCCCACCCGUGUAUACCGUACCCUGUUGCUUUGGCGGGCCGCCCUGGCGGCCCGCCGGAGACACCCACGAACGCUGUCUUGAAGAUUGCCGUCUGAGCGAAUAGCAAACAAAUUAGUUAAAACUUUCAACAACGGAUCUCUUGGUUCCGGCAUCGAUGAAGAACGCAGC